rfam:Picea glauca, whole genome shotgun sequence.
AUGUAAUGCUUACAACAUAGUGCUAAUACAUUGGAUCCCAUUAGAACUCUGCAGUUAAGCACGCUCGAGCUAGAGUAGUACUGGGAUGAGUGAUCGCCUAGGAAGUCCUAGUGUUUUACAUG